UACGGCAGGAAGGGAGGUCAUGUUUUGAGUACAGCUCUCUUAAUUGAAAGAGUUAGACUUAGAGAAGAUUCA